CACGCCGUAAACGAUGAAUACUCGCUGUUUGCGAUAUACAGUAAGCGGCCAAGCGAAAGCAUUAAGUAUUCCACCUGGGGAGUACGCCGGCAACGGUGAAACUCAAAGGAAUUGACGGGG
rnacentral:rRNA from 1 species